UAGGGAAUCUUCCGCAAUGGACGCAAGUCUGACGGAGCAACGCCGCGUGAGUGAAGAAGGAUUUCGGUUCGUAAAACUCUGUUGUUAGAGAAGAACAGCGCAUAGAGUAACUGUUAUGCGUGUGACGGUAUCUAACCAGAAAGCCACGGCUAACUACGUGCCAGCAGCCGCGGUAAUACGUAGGUGGCAAGCGUUGUCCGGAUUUAUUGGGCGUAAAGCGAGCGCAGGCGGUCAAUUAAGUCUGAUGUGAAAGCCCCCGGCUCAACCGGGGAGGGUCAUUGGAAACUGGUUGACUUGAGUGCAGAAUAGGAGAGUGGAAUUCCAUGUGUAGCGGUGAAAUGCGUAGUUAUAUGGAGGAACACCAGUGGCGAAGGCGACUCUCUGGUCUGUAACUGACGCUGAGGCUCGAAAGCGUGGGUAGCAAACAGG
rnacentral:rRNA from 1 species